AACGGGUUAAAUGUCGUGGGAACCCUAACGAGCUGCUAUAUAAGUCGAGCUUCAGCCGUGAAGUUCACAUUUCCUCUUCGCUGCCGUUUAGCUCUCUCUCUCUCUCUCUCUCUCACAGAACUGAAAACCCCAGCUGCUCCUCCAUAGCUGCCUCACCCCAUCUCUUCUCUCUAACCUCUCAUCCGUUCUUGCAUCUCAGAACCAAAACCACACAAAUAUCCCAAGGUGGUCUUUCUGUGCUACCCCAACGCCGAUCUGCGCCUCCAAGAGGGACAAACAAAACCGCUUAAAGUCUCCAGAUCCGUGAGCCCAAGUCCUCUCUCCCUUGAUAGUUGUGGACCUUAUCAUGUCGGACCGACAAUCCCAACCCUUGACCUCACAAAUUGGAGAGGUACUAACUGAUUUAACAACGCUGAUUUCUCAACUUCAAGUUGAGGAGUCAUCGGUAUCGGCAGAACCUGCACGUGUCGAUCUAAAGCAGGCAUUUAUCGACAGGUUUUUAAACCUGUUGAACACGUCUUCUCUAGAAGACCUAGAAAAUAUGAAGGGUAUCGGCGAGACGAGAGCCGCAAAAAUAAUGGAAGUGCGCGGAGGAGGAAACUCCUUUUACGAGCCUUGCUGACCUGGGAAAGAUUGGCCUGUCGAUAAAGCAGGCUAAGGGUCUUGUGAGGAAGGAAUUCGCCAGGAUGCUCGAUUAGUGCAAUAUAUUUUAUGUGUCGUUUGAUAGGAUUUUUACUACUUAUGUGAAUGCGAUAAAACCUCAUAUUUUACUUGCAAGAAUCACAAGGUUAUUGUAGUAUAAACGGAUCUCGCAAGGUCAUUCUCUACAGGGAUUAUUAAAUAAUUCGAAACAAACCAGAUUCCAAUUAAUGAUUGGAAAGUA